UGAAUACGAGAUGCUACGGCGUCGAAGCAGUGUAUGUCAGACUUCCAAGAAAAGCUCGCAAUGUCAUAAAUAAAGAAUGCCUGUACCAUAACCGACACAGGUGGGUAGGUAGAGUAUACUAAGGGGCGCGAGAUAACUCUCUCUAAGGAACUCGGCAAAAUAACUCCGUAACUUCGGGAGAAGGAGUGCCUUCUAUUAGAAGGUUGCAAUAACAAGAUCCAAGCAACUGUUUAUCAAAAACACAGGUCUCCGCUAAGUCGUAAGACGAUGUAUGGGGGCUGACGCCUGCCCAGUGCCAGAAGGUUAAAGAAGUUGGUUAGCUUUGGCGAAGCUGAUGACUGAAGCCCUGGUGAACGGCGGCCGUAACAAUAACGGUCCUAAGGUAGCGAAAUUCCUUGUCGGGUAAGUUCCGACCCGCACGAAAGGCGUAAUGAUUUGGAUACUGUCUCGGAGAGGGACUCGGUGAAAUAGACUUGUCUGUGAAGAUGCGGACUACCUGCACCAGGACAGAAAGACCCUAUGAAGCUUUACUGUAACUUGAAAUUGAAAUUGGACUUUAUUUGCGCAGCAUAGGUGGAAGGCGUUGAGAUUACUCUUGCGGGAGUACUGGAGCCAUCAGUGAGAUACCACUCCUAUAAUGUUAGAUUUCUAACUUUGGAUCAUGAUCUGGUCAAAGAACAGUUUCAGGCGGGCAGUUUGACUGGGGCGGUCGCCUCCCAAAUGGUAACGGAGGCGUACAAAGGUUUCCUCUGAACGGGUAGAAAUCGUAUCUAGAGUGUAAAGGCAUAAGGAAGCUUGACUGUGAGACCUACAAGUCGAGCAGGGACGAAAGUCGGUCUUAGUGAUCUGACGGUGCUGAGUGGAAAGGCCGUCACUCAACGGAUAAAAGUUACUCUAGGAUAACAGGCUGAUCUCCCCCAAGAGUUCACAUCGACGGGGAGGUUUGGCACCUCGAUGUCGGCUCAUCGCAUCCUGGGGCGGUAGUACGUCCCAAGGGUUGGGCUGUUCGCCCAUGAAAGCGGUACGCGAGCUGGGUUCAGAACGUCGUGAGACAGUUCGGUCCAUAUCCGGUGUAGGCGUUAGAAUAUUGAGAGGAGCCUUCUUUAGUACGAGAGGACCGAGAAGGACAUACCUCUGGUGUACCAGUUAUCGUGCCAACGGCAAACGCUGGGUAGCUAUGUAUGGAGAGGAUAACCGCUGAAAGCAUCUAAGUGGGAAGCCCACCUCAAGAUGAGUAUUCUCA
rnacentral:rRNA from 1 species